UAUUAUUUGUUUCAUUUUUACACAUAUCUGAUGAACUAAAAGAAACUCUGUUCAGUUAUAAAUAAGUUGUAUAUUGUCCCAUCCUAAGAAUAACAUAAACUGAGAAUCAAUGUGGAUGAGUGUUAACAAAAUGGUUAUUUAUUUACCGUCCAAAUAAAGUUAAGUAAAACAGGUUCUCUCUUGUCACCUGUGUGUCACUGAAUAUUUGAACAUUAGAUCUGCAACUGUUUCAAGAAUAUAAACAAGGAACACAGCACAAGCUUAAUGCUACCGACAUUGUUUCUAGGCACACUUUGCUCGUAUUCAGAACACAGGAGUUCUAGCACCCGCAGUACCACAAAAUUUUGCUCCCCGUCAGUUCUACGUCGGUCCAGGAGUGCCUGGCAUGUUCCCACCACAGGUUCGUGCAGGCUUCGGGUAUCAACAAUUCCCACAACAACAUUUCAGUCCUUGGGUUCCUAGCGGCAUGACGCCAUAUACGUAUAACAUGCCGAGGCCACUACACCAUGCUUGGCGUGGUGUGCAUCAAGAAAUCAAUCUACACUGACAGGUAUUAUGGCAUGAGAGAUGAACAUUUUUUGACUUCAUUUUUUUAAUCCUUAAUGCAUCAGCUACUCUUGCAAAGGUCAUCCAGCCGUGCCCAUGUUCAGAUUAUCUCACAAGUAGUCAAUUCACCUGACUUUCUUGCUUUUACAAUGCAGAUGGUGUACCCAAAUACCAACCAAGCCUUCACAUACAUGCCAAAUUCUAUGAAUGUGAAUGCCAACUCUGUGAUGGUUCCCCCGGGCUUCGCACAAACUGAUAGUACUGUCUCUACUCCAUCUGUUCCAAGCAAGAACACCACCACCACUGCUGUAGAUUCUUCUUACCUGGAGAAACAACAUCCCGUAAGGACAGUGGAAUUAUAUUAGGACGUGCUAAUUUCACAGUUACAAAUUUUACUUGGCAUGCAUGUUUAUAUAUUAGCCAUUUAUGUCAAUGAAGGGUGAAUUUUUAGUUUGGUCGUAUACUUUGUUUAUCUUGCAGAUUCAAGACGAGAAAUUGUACCCACUGGGUGAACAGCUUGAGCCAGAAUUAGGAGGGAAGGUGACAGGGAUACUGGGUGAGGCAAUGGAAGCUCUACAAGGAAGGAAACUGGAAGAGGCCAGGGAUACUGUUGACCUCGCAACCAUACCAUCAUCAUCGACCUUGAGUGUUAGCAGAGAUGCUAUUGACCCCGCUUCGACAGCGUCGUCCUCGAGUGCUUCCGCUGACGGUGCUAACCUUGCUCCGUCACCAUCAUCCUCGAGUGCUUGAACGCUGGUUCCUAACAUCUCUGUCGACCUGAAAUUUAGAUGGUUGGAUAAUGUUUAAGAAGAUUCCUGGUUUGAUGUUGCUUCAUGAUAUUUUCGGUCAUGAGUUUUAUUCUUGUUUGUUUGUUUGUUCUUAGGUUAAAGUGCAACUGCAUUUUCCCCAAUAUUUAGGAUAACUUCAUCAAAUAAAAAAUUAGACAGUGCCCUCUUCCUUUGGCAGUGAUCCUAGUUACUUCCAAUAUUACGUAAAAGAUAUAAUAGUUUAACGAUAUCUGUUUAACAAUUCAUGAUGGCCUCACAAAACACACACACACAAACCAACCAAAAGUGCAAAUAGGGUGUUAUGGCAAAUAGCUUCAGCCUCUAAAUCAGCUAAAUUGAUGCUAAACAGGGGCUUAAUUGCGCUAAAACUGCUAAGUAGUAUAUGGAGAUGUCGUUUACAUGGACAACUAGCAUUUGCUUUUCUCUUCUACAACUAUUUUCUCCUAAUCUUUUGUAAGUUCAUAUAUUACUAAUGUUCAACUCAUCUACCCGGGGAAAAGGCCCUCUCCUCCAUGACAGAACGAAAAUCCUGAGCCCCCUCGCCGCGCCGUACAACGCCCCAGGGUAGCUUGUGCCAAACGGUCAAUGUGCCCGCGGGUUGCCUCAGGCGAAGGCGUCGGCGGCGUGUACCAUGUGCAGUGGGAUGCUAGGGGUGAGCGACCACAGGAAUGUUUAGAGUAUUGUGCACAUCUCACAGAUUGCUAGAUGUUUCAUGUGAUGUAGAAGUACAUAUAUGCAUUCAAACUUGUCGAUAGAUGCAUGGAAGAAACUACUUAAGAAUUCUGAGGCAUACAAUGUGGAAUUUGCAAGCUUCAUCUCCGCAGGUGUAUAGCACCAUGCAUGUGCCAUCAAGCUUACGUAACCGUUGAAUAUGAUUACGUCUAGCUCACCAAACAGCCCUGCGAUGCAGGUAUGCUGUGUUUCUUUCUCCUUCUCUUAAACACGUAAUCCUUGAGCGCUGCAACCAUAGCAUCAUUUCUCUGUAGAGAAGCUCAUCAAGCUCAUGCAUCUUCUGCCGGAUGAAACGAUGAUCGACAUUGUUCUCUUGCAAGGAUGCAAGUUCAGACCGGAGCCUCUCAAUAUCACGUAGCACAUGCCCAAAGGUUUUACUGCUCCAUUUCGAAAGAUUCUACAGAGUUCCUUCAACGAGUUUGACACUGACUCCACUCCGCACCCAUGUGUCGAUGCACAAAAUUAGGGGCUCUCCUUUUGCACCCCUUAACUUGUGCACAGGCAGUCAGAGCCGCGCCCACGGUCGCACUGAGCAGGGAAGAGGAGGGAUGCCGGACGACAAGACAACCGAAGCAACGCCAAGACCAGAGACACAAAGAGCAAGGGAGCGAAGUCGACUCCCCCGGCAAGACUCUUGCCGGGGCAACCUCCGCAGCCCCGGCAAGAGCCUUGCCGGGGCAACUUGCCCUAUGCCAGCUGAGCACGCCGCCCUUGAGCCAAGGGGUUCCAAUGCCAUCAACCGCAUCGAAACCAAGGCUCGGGAGGCACCUCCAUGGUGGCAUGCAGAUCUUUGUGGAGAUCAUAAAUACACAAGAACAGAUGAGAACCAAAAGACGACAAUCCUUGGCGAGAUCCUUGCCAAGGAAAUCCAUGUGACCCCCGGCAAGAUCCUUGCCGGGGACGACCACGGUGCCACGGCAAGACCCUUGCCGGGCCCCCGGCAAGACCCUUGCUGAGGACAUCUGCGGGGCCGCAGCCAGGCCCACGUCUGUCAAGACUCCACCACCGCUCCCAUGCAGGUGCUAGCUCAACCAGUUGGGCAGGCGUCUACGUGGCAGCAUGCGGCCUCCACACCGACUCAGCAAGCACCUACGUGGUGGCAUGCAGAUCUUUGUGAAGGCUCUGCCAUCACGCCAGCCCAGCAGCCAGCCAACGUGGCGCUACAAUGUCUCGUCGGCUCGGACGCGCGUCGGAGCCAGGCGAGGUGGCGACAGCUGGGACGAGCUUCCUUGUCAUCCCCGAUAAAGCAAGAGGGGCACGUCGGCAGCGCAUUAAAUGUGUUUGUCCGACGGUGCCAGAGGAUAGACUCAGCCACGAUACUCCUUUCCACCUCCUGUGUGCCACUAUGGCAACCCCUUUUGUCUAUAAAAGGAGGCCCGAGGCGUACUGGAGGAGGAUUCGAAUCUUUGGAACUAGGGACACACCGUAGCUAGUUCAAGAACUCAAGAACACUAAAAUAUACAUCAAAGCAGGACUAGGGUAUUACGCGUCUCCGCGGCCCAAACCUGGGUAAACGAUCCUUGUGCUGACCCUCAGACCUGCUCUUUGCACAACUCUGCGCCCGCCAACCGUAGAAGGGAUCCCAGUGAUUCCAUAGGUGUCGUUUCCACCGAGAUCUUUGGCGCGUCACGUAGGGGGCGCGCAGUUGUGGAAAUCUGGUCUGGUUGAAGCAGCGACUUCAUCAUGGUCGUCACUCCAAGGAUGAAGACGACCAAACAAGUGGCGUCCUUGGUGGAUGCAAUGAACACUCGUGCAACAACAAAUAAGCUAAGUCAUGCAAAACUUUGAGCAAUUCCUUUUUAUAUAUAAGGUUAUCAUCCUCGACGAUCUUGCCCUGUGUAUGGAAAACCUGCACGCAAUGGGGCCCUGCCACUAUUGGCAACUCCCUCAUUCUAUUUCGAGACCACUCAAUAGUUCUAGCGGCUGCGUCGAGAACGGCAUGGUGACCUUCUGUGAUUGGCAACGCUCUCGUUCUGUCUCGAAUCCGCUCGACAGUUCGAGCGGCCGCGUUAAGAGUAGUGAGGUGGUUUGCCCGACAUCAAGCACACCCUGCAGGCCAUUGGGGAUCCGUCAUCGAGGCGCCGCGACCUGGGUUUUCGCACCGGCAAGCCUACCCGACUAACGUAGGGUGUACAUACAAAGGGAGAUCAAAUGGGAAAAUAACAUGCAUCAUUUCAAAGCACUUCAGAGUUAUACUACAUCAAUUGUUGCUGCGGUUCUAACUAAAGAUAAAAAUUGUCUUGGUUGUGAACCUGCAGCGGCGAUAAGAAACGGGGUGCCUAGUCCCGGCGCUGGCCUUCUAUCCUCCGAACGGAACUCCGUCGAUGCGGCUGAUGACGGGCUCGAUACGCUCCUUGAGUGUCGCGGGUCCAUGUCCUCCGGCAAGCUAUCCAGCGCAGCUUUGAAGUUGAGGUCAGGGUUCCAGUACGCCACCUUGGUGAGGACCUUGGUCAUGGCACCCCGGCAAAGCCUCCAGGCCUCAUCAACCAGAGAGGCCGCCCUGUUAGAGCGGAACUGCUCCAGGGCCCCGAGAACACCCUCGAAGAACAAGGUCAGCCUGACAUUGGGACUCACGUUCGGCUCCGGGACGUACCUCAUGUUUGGCAUCCCCAUGGUAGCCAGCUGCGUGGUGAUCCUACUGGCGAUGUCGGUGAGGCGGCUGAUCCAGAGGUUUUCUCCCUUCACAAAAUCCUCGUGGUUGGCGGCUUCAUUCUUCCGCAGCUGCCUCUCCUUCUCCAGAUUCUUGGUUAGUGUCUCCUCCCGGGCCCUGACCUCCGACAGCGUACCCUCCAGACCCUCCAGCUUCAGCUUCAGGUCUUGGAUGGAGUUGUUGGCCUUGGAGAGUAGCUCGGCCUUGCCGAGGACUGUGGCCUGCGCAUCAGCCAAAUCGCCUUUGGCCACGUCCCUCUCCCUCGUCAGCUCUAGGAUCUGCUUCUUCAGCCCGUCCCGCUCCACCUCCAGCUCGUUCACCUUGCCAGCAUGGACCUGGGCCUGAGCAUUGAGUGCCUCCUCGUGCCUCUACUCCAGUUCCUGGGUCCGCUACACGACAAGCUCCUUGACCUCCUCGACCUUCCCGCGGAGUGUCACGGCGAGUUUCUCCUCGCGGGCGGCAAGGUCCUCCUCCUAGGAGUUCAGCGCGGCCUGGUGCUGGCGCCGAGCGGCCUCAUCCUUGGCGGCCUGUUGUCUCGCUGCCUCCCGGGCCUUCUCGAUAUCGGCCUGCUUGAUGACAAGCUCCAGCUUGCGCUCGGCCAGCAGAUCCUAGGCGGUCUUCUGUUCCUCACAGGCCUGGCGGAACCAAGCCUGCGUCUCGGUGACGCACCCCUCGAGGUCCGCCUCUGCCUUGUCCACCGCCGCCAUCCUGCACUUGGCCUUGUCCAGGCGGGCACGGUGAAGCGCCUGGAGCUUGUGGAAGUUGGCGCUCAUGCCCUGGAGGAGCCGCUCUUCCUGGGAACCGCCGCCAUCGGCGCUCAGUUCGUCAACGACCUCAAGCCCGGUGGCGGCAAGCACCUCGUCGUCGAACACCUCCCCCUCAGCGAGCGCCUUGGUGCUCGCCAUCCAUGGGAGGUGGACGAACAGGUCAUCGCUCACCUUCAGGUACUUGCUCGAGCCAGACGCGGCGGAGGAGGAAGGAUGGUCAUCAACCACCUCCUCCUCGACAGCGGCCUUGCCGGCCUCCCCGGCCUUCCUGGCAGCGGCCUCGCCGGUCUCCCCGGCAGGCCCCUUGGCGGCGUCCUCAGCAGCGCCCUUGGCGGCCUCCUCAGCGGUGAUCUUGUCGGCCUCGGCCACGGCAUCCCUGGCAACCUCCUUGAUGAAGGUGUCCACGUCCUUCGGGUCCGCCGAGGAAGGAUCUGGAUACCGAGAAAGGGAAUUAGGCGAAGUCAAGACCAAAAUUCAAAAGAAGAAAAACGAGCGGGGACAGAAGGCAAACAACUCACCCAUGCCAAGCUGGGAAGAAGUGGCCCCCUCCCAACCAACGUUCGGUGCCAGGACGAAGCCGUCGGUGCCCAGGUUCGCCUCCUCCUCCUCCGUGCGCAUGGGCUCGGUGCUUGGCGCCCUUGCUGGGGACGCCCCUCGGGGCGGCGUGGUUGAUGGGGGUGGUGUGUUGGGGGUGGCCCUCAGUGACUCCUCCUGGUGCUGUCCUCCUCCUGCAACCACGGCAAGGUCAGCACCAAGAGAUCGUGUCCCAGCACACAUUGAUGAGGAGUGAGUGAUGAACGCAUGCUGGGGGCUGCGCCGGGGGCUGAUAUCCGGGCUGCUCUCCACCACUAGCGGCGUACUCGAGGUGCCCGCCGGGGGCUGACCGCCUGUCAAGGCCCUGGCCAUCUUUGCCACCCUCUGGGCCAGCGUCUCCAUAUCCCUGCAAAGAUGAGGACAAGUCAAGACAAGUGGCACGAUCUAAGGGGACGGAGAUGACAAAAGACAAUAUACUUACUCAUCCUCCGCCCUUUCUUCCGUUGCCUUCCUCUUCCUCCUCUGGCUAAGAGACCCGAAGUCGAAGAUGACCUCCGUGUCGUCGCCUGCGGGAGGAGGGGAAGCGGGUGGAGACCGAGGACGCUUGGACGAAGAAGAGGCAGUCGCUUUCUUUUUCGCCACCACAGCCUUCACCACCAUCCUCGCCGCCGCGGCCCUCGUUUGGCGCACGGACACCUCUUGGGUUUGUUGCGGUUACGUGGCCCUGCCGUGCCGGACCGGCUCACCAGAGCUGGCCUGCCACAGGACACGCCCUGUCCUCGUGGCUGGGGGGUCGACAGCCUCGACCUCCUCCCUGGAAGACUCAUCGACCACAUCUUCAAUAAGAGGGGCCCCGGUGACGGCGCUGCUGGCCUCCCCAGCAGAUUCCGCCCACUGGGCAAGCUCCUUCUCCUUCGCGGCCGCCGCGGCCUCGUCCUCCAUGCCGCCAGCGCUGCCGGACUCCCUGGCGAGCUCUGCCUCCGCCGCCCUGGUGGCGAUAUAGUCCAGCUCCGCUUGGGUGGUGUCCUAGAUGAGCAGCGGCUCUUCGCGGACGUACUUCUCCGACAAGGUGUCGAAGAACUUCUGCACCUGAUCCGCCUCCGGCCCGACCCAAUUUGGGUCAGGGUCGUGCGCAUUACAGUCCGGCAUCAUGGCAAUGAUGUCGGUUUGGCGGGAGUUGUUGCUCAGCGGGACCACCCCCGCUGGCAACCCAAACAAGGGCCCUUGGAGACCUUGUUGGCCUUCGCGGCCUUGCUGGUCCUCUCGGCCCUGCCGUCGCGGUCCACGUCGAGCUGAAAAAGCCGCUGGCAAAAGUGGGCAUGCCCCAUCAACAUGAAGUUGUGGUUCAAGCCGGGGCAAAGCCGCAUGAUGUCAGCUGCAUUCCUGAAAAGCCAGGCCGGCCUCCCCUUGUUGUGCAGUGGAGCGAUGCGGCGGCGGAUGAAAUCCGCCCCAAUCAUCUCCAGGGUGAGCCCGGCAACGGUGAGGCAAUGGAUCCUGGUAAUGGUGACCGUGAGCUUCUCAUCCUGGGCGUCGACAUCGCCCCAGUCGUCUCUGCGAACCGGCGGCGCCUGGCGAACCUGGCAAAAUUCCUGUGGGUCCUCCUCCUCAAUCCAGCACCAUCGGCUCCGCCACUCCUCCCACCUCUCCUUCUGAGCGCCCUCCGGAUAUGUCCCCUUCUCCUGGGUCCUUGGGAUCCAGGCGACACAACCGGAGAUGGCUCCUCCCUUCUGGAUCCGAGGAUAGAAGUGGUGGCGGAAAGCGCCGUGUUGGGAUGCACUCCGGCAAAGCCCUCGCAGAGAUGGGCGAAAAGGGCCAUGCACGCCACGGCAUUUGGAGUGAAAUCCAGAAGGUCAAAGCCAUAGGUGUGCAUGCCAUCAUUGAAGAAAUCAGAGAAAGGGGACAGAGGCCACAGGAAAAGUAGUCGACGAAGAAUGGGUACCGAUUCGGGCCGGCCUUGGCGAAAUCAGUGGGGAUGAUGUGCGUGGCCGGAUGCCUCGUCGUCUCCCCCUUCUUGCACUCCCACAGGGGCUUGAAGUUGUCCUAGAGAUGGACCGCAUCAACCGUCGAGGGAAAGUAGGCGAGCUGCGUCUGCCGCGCCGCCAACUCACUCUCCAGCGGCUCCUUCCCCCCGACGUCCUUGGCCACUCCCUUGCCUUUGCUGGUUUUGGGUGCCAUGGCGGCUGCGAGUAGUGAAGGAUGAAGGACAGCAAACACGCGACAGCGGCGAGCGAGAGCAAGAUCUUGAGAAAGAAGGAGGAGGGGACGACGGUUCCGAGAUUGGAGAAGGCAUAUAGGGUAAAUGAGCAGCGCGCCUGCGGUUAUCCUUUUUUACGGGGAAGGCCCAGACCGCCUCUUUACCAUUUACUACGACAUGACGCCUGCGUGCGGGAACCACCCCAUGCAUGACCCCCACGUCACGCAUGAUCCUCCACGUCGCGCGUUCAACGCGGGUCGUGGGAAAGCGCAGCGGAUGGAAAAGUUACUACAGUAAAAACCACCCCGCCUGCCCGCGCACCAUUCUGGGCCUAGCGCAACAACGCGUCGUGCUUAUGUGUGGCCCAGGCGCAGGGGCUCCUGUUGGUGUACAAAAGUAGGGUCUCUCCUUUUGCACCCCUUUACUUGUGCACGGGCAGUCAGAACCGCGCCCACGGCCGCACUGAGCAGGGCAGAGGAGGGAUACCGGAGCGCAAGACAACCGAAGCAACGCCAAGACCAGAGACACAAAGAGCAAGGGAGCGAAGUGGACUCCCCCGGCAAGACUCUUGCUGGGGCAGCCUCCUCAGCCCCAGGAAGAGCCUUACCGGGGCAACUUACCCUAUGCCAGCUAAGCGCGCCGCCCUUGAGCCAAGGGGUUCCAACGCCAUCAACCACACCGAAACCAAGGCUCGGGAGGCACCUCCAUGGUGCGUGCAGAUCUUUGUGGAGAUCAUAAAUACACAAGAUCAGAUGAGAACCAGAAGACAACGAUUCUUGGUAAGAUCCUUGCCAAGGAAAUCCACGAGACCCCCGGCAAGAUCCUUGCCGGGGACGACCACGGUGCCAUGGCAAGACCCUUGCCGGGCCCCCGUCAAGACCCUUGCCGAGGACAUCCGUGGGCCGCAGCCAGGCCCACGCCUGCCAAGACUCCACCGCCGCUCCCAUGCAACUGCUAGCUCAACCAGUUGGGCAGGCAUCUACGUCGCAGCAUGGGGCCUCCACACCGACUCAGCAAGCACCUGCGUGGUGGCAUGCAGAUCUUUGUGAAGGCUCCGCCAGCACGCCAGCUCAGCAGCCAGCCAACGUGGCGCUACAACGCCUCGUCAGCUCGGACGCGCAUCAGAGCCAGGCAAGGCGGCGACAGCUGGGAUGAGCUUCCUUGUCGUCUCCGAUAAAGCAACAGGGGCACGUCGGCAGCGCAUUAAAUGCGUUUAUCCGAUGGUGCUAGAGGAUAGACUCAGCCAUGAUACUCCUUUCCACCUCCUGUGUGCCACUGUAGCAACCCCUUUUGUCUGUAAAAGGAGGCCCGAGGCGUACUAGAGGAGGAUUCGGAUCUUUGGAACUAGGGACACACCGUAGCUAGUUCAAGAACUCAAGGACACUCAAAUAUACAUCAUAGCAGGACUAGGGUAUUAUGCGUCUCUGCGGCCCGAACUUGGGUAAACGAUCCUUGUGCUGACCGCCAGACCUGCUCUUUGCACAACCCCGCUCCCGCCAACCGUAGAAGGGAUCCCAGUGAUUCCAUAGGUGUCGUUUCCACCGACACCAUGUACGUGAAAUAACAACCGGCAGAUUGGGAUCCCUUUCAUACAUAGUCUUAUAUCUAGGUGGUCAUCGCCGCCUCAGCGUUGAAUCGACUGGUAGCAUCUCGAGGACGAUCGGGCAGUGGUUUGAGCAAGGAAAUGCCAGGUGAACUACACCUGAUGCUAGAAAUAGGUCACGCCAUUGUUAAUCCGCACAAACAUGGUCCACAUGCACUCGCACAUUGCUAUUAAAUCGAAAACAACAGUAGUGCAGUUCAGUUCAAGUACGGAACAGUGAUGCCCUAUUUUAGGCCAGCUAUUGGAGAUGUCACUUUGUCAUGCCCAAAAAAUCCACUUUUUGGUGUCUUAAAUUUAACACCAACCUCCUUUUGGUGCUCUACAAUAGGGAAGCAAUUGGAGAUGUUGUAAGAAAGUUAUAAAAUGUAGCCUGUGGAAUAAAUGGAGAAUAUUUAAUGCAAAGUAAAUACUAAAGGAUUUGAGCAUCCAUCCGAGAUUUUUGCACAUUACCAUAUUAAUGCAAAAUAAAUACGAUAGGACUCAAGCAUCCCCCGGAGAUUUUAACACACCGCCAUAUUAAUACAAAUAAACACAAUAUGGACUCGAUAAUCCAUCUGUGAUAUUCUUUCACAAAAUAACAUUUUUCAUUUCCAUAUAAUUUUCAAAUUUGUGAUCUUUUUGACAAUACAACAUGCAUAUGAGUGCAAGUUCAAUGACUGGAACAAAGAUGUAGCCCCCAAAACCGAAAGGAAUUUGGUACUCACAUAUGUUUAAACUUGUUGCGUAAUCACAAUGAGUUUUUUUGGCACACCCCUUUAGAAGUUUACAUGAAUCUUAAAGUUACUUAAAAAGGUUUUCACCAUAUUAGCAUGUAGAUCAAUUAUAUCAAAUAGAUUGAUUUGAAUACAAAAGGCUAUAUGACCCUUUUUGAUCGAAAAAGGGUAACUUCUAAUCUCCAUCUUUAAUCUGCAUCAAAAUCUGUAAAAUUUCCUGCGGUGUACCAAAACAAAGUUCAAUUGCAAUUAUUUUUGGUAAAAAAUACCCUAAUGUUUAAGGAAAGCCACAUAUAUGAACAUUCUUUAACAAUACGUAUGAAUAUUCAUUAUUACAGUUUGCAUACCAUCCUUAUUUAAUCACAAUUGUACUGACAUGUAAUUACAAAAGGCUUAUCACCCGGCUUUAUAAAUAAAGUCAUGACAGGAUACAAACACACUGAAAUAGAGGUCCACACAAAGGAAAUAAGUUCAACAACAAGAAAGGAAAAAUUUACUCGUCGGGGGAAACAACAAAACAAGCCCGCAAAAGAACAUAACAUGGUCUCAAGCCGAAUAGAUUAUCAUACCUAAUCUGGACGCAACCUCCUUAUGUUUCCAUGUCAGCUCGUCGAUGGUCGUCUUAUCCCGCCGCUUAGAGAGAGGCUUGCAUAUGGUGUUCAUUUACUUGGAGAAGGCCUAUGAUAAUAUACCGCGGAAUGUCAUGUCGUGGGCCUUGGAGAAACACAAAGUCCCAGCAAAGUACAUUACCCUCAUCAAGGACAUGUACGAUAAUGUUGUGACAAGUGUUCAAAAACGUGAUCUUGACAUUGAUGACUUCCCGAUCAAGAUAGAGAUGCAUGAGGGGUCAGCUUUGAGCCCUUAUCUUUUUGCCUUGGUGAUGGACGAGGUCACGGGGGAUAUACAAGGAGAUAUCCCAUGGUGUAUGCUCUUUGCGGAUUAUGUGGUGUUAGUUGACGAUAGUCGGACGGUGGUAAAUGGGAAGUUAGAGUGAUGGAGACAAACCUUCGAACCAAAAGGGUUUACAAUUAAUAGAACUAAACCGAGUACAUGAUGUGCGGUUUCAGUACUACUAGGUGUGAGGAAGAGGUUAGCCUUGAUGGGCAGGUGGUGCCUCAGAAGGACACCUUUCGAUAUUAGGGGUCAAUGUUGAAGGAGGAUGGGGGUAUUGAUGAAGAUGUGAACCAUCGAAUCAAAGCCAGAUGGAUGAAAUCAUGGCACUCGGGCACUAGUGACAAGCAUUAUUCACAACAAAGUCAUAGCAACAUCAAUCUCAAAACAUAGUGGAUACUAGAGAUCAAGCCCUACCAAAACUAACUCGAUUACAUAAUGAAUCCCACCCAUACCAUCAUCGUCCAGCAAGCCUACGAAGAGAUUACUCACUCCCAGCGCUGAGCAUCAUGAAAUUGGUGAUGGAGAAUGGUUGGUGAUGACAAUGGCGGCGAAUCCCCUUCUUCGAAGCCUAGAACGGACUCCAGAUCUGGCCUCCUGAUGAAGAAGUGGUGGCGGCGGCUUCGUAUCGUGAAACACGAUGAAACUUCCUCUCCUAUUUUUUUGGGAAAUAGGAAUUUAUAGUAUCUAUAAUAGGGUUAGCGGAGCCUCGUGAGCCCCACUACCUACUAGGGCAUGCCAGAGGGGGGGCGCCCUGGUGCCUAGUGGGCAACUGCCCCCCUCUAGUGGGUCUUGGUUCCAGUAAUUUUCAUUUAUUCUAAAAUAAUUCUCCAAAAAGUUUCUUGCAAUUCUGAGAACUUUUAUUUCUACACGAAAACAACACCAUGGUAGUUCUACUGAAAACAACGUUAGUCCGGGUUAGUUUCAUUCAAAUCAUGCAGAUAAGAGUCCAAAACAAGAGCCAAAGCGUUAGGAGAAGUAGAUACGAUGGAGACGUAUCACGUGAUAUUCGGAGCAGUAGAUAAGGUAAUACUUGUCGCAAUGGAGGAGAGCGCUAACCACUCGGUGGAUUCAAGGGGACCGAAAGAGCGGUGGAAUGUGAGGUUCCUCCCUGCAUCCGCAACCGCCAAGGCCACUGAGAUGGAAGGUUGAUCCGGAAUGGCGAAGAGCGCCAGGAAUUGAACAAUGAGUGGUCGGUCAUCAAGCUAAACUAUUCAACAAAAAAUGGGUGUCCAUUCCUCUCUCCACCAUCAGCAAAUACCAGAUGGAAAAUCGAUUUGAUAGGUUGAAUGGCGUGCCAAAAUAUUAGCCUCUGGUCGUGUAGCAAUGAGCGAAGGACUGCCCCUUAAGAUAUUUGUCCUUAAUUAGAUCCAUUUGCUCAUCAGGCACAUGUUCAUGCGACGAGCUGACGUGAUGACUAGACCCCCUAGUCCUUCUCAUGCAAAUGUGCCGCCAUUUGACCAUAUGAUAUUUGUGCUUAUCCACCUCACCUUGCCAAAAGAAUUUGGAUUGAUAUUUGUACAUGUCCGCAUGGGCUCCUUCAGGAAAAUGGUAUAGCCCCAUCGCAAACGUAGGGAGGCUAGCCAAGGAAGAUAUAAUGAGAAUCGAUUUCCCGGCUUUAGAAGUCAAUCUUCCUUGCCACAAAUCUACCCAGGUCUCACCCUCUCCAUCACCGGUCGCGGAUCUCUCCAACAAACCAUCGACACACUAACCGAUAGACCAAGGUACCUAAUAGGGAAUGACCCCGGGAAGCAAUUUAGGAGGUUGGCUAUGGAGGAUCGCUCCUAUUUUGGAACGUUGCAUGGAAAACAAAAAAAAUUCUACGCACACGCAAGAUCUAUCCAUGGAGAUGCAUAGCUAGACAGAGGGAGAUCAUUUCCAUACCCUUGAAGAUCGCUAAACUAAAGCGUUUACCAACGCGAUUGAAGUAGUCAUACACCUUCCCGAUCCUUCCCGAUCAAGUACCGAAUGUAUGACACCUCCGCGUUCAGCACAUGUUUAGCUCGAUGACGUCCUCGCCUUCUUGAUCCAGCUAGAUGGAUGAAGUAAUAGAUGAGUUCCGGUAGCAUGACGGCGUGGUGACGGUGGUGGUGAAGAACAAUCUCCGCAGGGCUUCGCCAAGCACAACGGAAACUAUGACGGAGGAUAAACUAGUGGGGGCGGGGUCCUAGGGUCGUUUCUUGGAGAAAGAGCCUCCUCAAAGUCGGUUUAGCCCGCAAGGCAGGAGUCCUUCUCGGACUCCAGGACCAGACGCCAGGGUCCCUGGAGUCUGGCCCCAGACGCCACCCCUGGCCUUUGCAAAACUCCUUUUGCACCUUCCUAAAUCCUUGCGGGCUUUACCCCUUGUCCCAAAUAAAGUUUUCUCAUACCUGAAAAUUUAGGGAAACAUUCGAAACCCCUUCCGGUGAAUUCUGGAACCCUUCCGGAGACCAAAAACUAUUAUCCCAUAUAUCAAUUUUUACCUCCGGACUAUUCCGGAGCUCCUCUCGUCAUGUUCGUGAUCUCAUCCAGGACUCUGAACAACAUUCGACAACCAACAUACAUAACUCAUAUAAUACUAUACCGUCAACGAAGUUAAGCGUGUGGACCCUACGGGUUCAAGAAUGAUGUAGACAUGACCGAGACGCUUCUUCGGUCAAUAACCAAUAGUGGGACCUAGAUGCCCAUAUUGGUUCCUACAUAUUCUACGAAGAUCUUUAUUGGUCGAACCUUUAUGACAACAUACAUAGUUCCCUUUGUCCGUCGGUAUGUUACUUGCCCGAGAUUCGAUCGUCGGUAUCUUCAUAGCUAGUUCUAUCUCGUUACCAGCAUGUCUCUUUACUCGUUCCGUAAUACAUCAUCUCGUAACUAACUCCUUAGUCACUUUGCUUGCAAGCUUCUUGUGAUGCUGUAUUACCGAGAGGGCCCAGAGAUACCUCUCCGUGAUAUGGAGUGACAAAUCCCGAUCUCGAUUCAUGCCAACUCCACAGACACCUUCGGAGAUAACUAUAGAGCACCUUUAUGAUCACCAAGUUACGUUGUGACGUUUGAUAACACACAAGGUAUUCCUCCGGUAUCCGGGAGUUGCAUGAUCUCAUGGUCGAAGGAAUAUGUAUUUGACAUUAAGAAAGCCGUAGCAAUAAACUGAAGGAUCAUAUGCUAAGAUAACUAAUGGGUCUUGUUCAUCACAUCAUUCUCCUAAUGAUGUGAUCCCGUUAUCAAGCGCAACACAUGUCUAUGGUUAGGAAACAUUAACCAGCUUUUAAUCAACGAGCUAGUCUAGUAGAGGCUUAGUAGGGACAUUGUGUUUGUUUAUGUAUCCACACAUGUAUUUCAGUUUUCGGUCAAUACAAUUCUAGCAUGAAUAAUAAACCUUUAUCAUAAUUAAGGAAAUAUAAUAAUAACCACCUUAUUAUUGCCUCUUGGGCAUAUUUCCAACUGCUCUUGCUCCGAAUAACACAGUACCAUCACGUCACUUUUGGCAAAAUUAAUCAUCAAACACGACAUCUCUUGGAAGAAAAUAUGGAGGAACUGCAAAUUUAUUAUAUCCAUUGGAGUUCACUCCAUAUAAGGAUGGUGUCAUCCGCAUAUUGGAGGUGCGUGACUCCACCUACUGCAAUCAACUGGGCCACCACCCGACACAAAUGGCCAGCACAUCUCCCUUCAUCCAUAAUGGAUGCUAGGCCAUCGAUAACAAUAUUAAAUAAGAACGGAAAGAGUGGUUCAUCUUACCUCAACCCCCCUUGAGGGCUUAAAAAAUGGAUCCGUCUCCCUAUUAAUGUUAAUGGCAGUAUGUCCACUACUAACAAGCUACAUAAUGCGGGUAACCCAUCUACCAUCUAACCCUUUGCGCUGAAGGGAAUCUCUCCAAAAAUCCCAACUAAGCGUAUCAUAAGCCUUAUUGAAAUCAAUCUUGAAAAUACUGCCUUUUGAUGUUUAGUCUUAACCUGGUGAAUGAUUUCAUGUAGUGCCAGUAGCCCAUCAUGAAUUAGAUCACCCUUAAUGAAGGCAGACUGGUUUGGAUGGGUAAUUCUAGCCACUAUAGGUGCCUCCCUCAUGGCGUGCGCCUCGUCUAGGAUGCCGAAGAUCACGUUAAUAGCCGUGAUCGGCCGGAACUGGUGAAUGUCCAUUGCCCAAACUUCUUUGGAGAUCAACGUAACCACUCCAUAGUUAAGGCGGGAUGCGUCGAGCACCGAAUUAUAGAAAUCUCGGAAUAUAAUCAUCACCACCCCUUUAAUGAUCUUCUAGAAUUUCACAAAAAAACCGAACAGGAAGCCCAACCGGGCCCAGGGCAGAGUCGGGUUUCAUCGAGUUCAUUGCCGCUUCAACUUCUAGAAAAGGCUCCAUGAGCCUCAGCCACCCCCUCUGAGACCCACAUCUCGAAGACUCACCCCAGCCCAUUGUUGACUGUUCAAAAGGUUUUUGUAAAAACCAUCAAUGUGAGAGUGGAUCUCCACCUUGUCCUAAAGCAUUGUGACACCAUCCCAAAGGACCACAACCGAGGAUCACGAUGACGACCAUUGGCAAUAGCCUCGAAGUAUGCCGUGUUGGAGUCACCCCUAAAUGUCAAAUUAAACGACCCUAAGAUGACAGUAAAUCUAAUCGUUUCGAAAGAACGUCAUGAUGCUAUCCUCGAGACCACAUCUCUCCAUCCAUUCCUCCGGAUCUAGACCUGCCGUGGUUGACCGAUCAUCAAAGGACUUGAUGGCCACAAGGAGCCCCACCUUGCGGAUCCUCGAGUCUGGCCUAGGUUGCCCCCCCAACCCCGCAUGAAUUGCAUGGAUAAUUUGGUACAGUGAUGCCAAGUGUAUAACACCGACAUCGAUUGGUGGGGGAGUCGAGCGCCUCGAACCACUUGGACAUCACCACCUCGGCAAAACCCGGCUGGCAUUACCCGAAUAUAUAGCUCGAGAUGGAACUAUGGCGGUGGCCGAGGACUAGUUUCCCCGGAUGACAACAAGGGGACAUGAUCUGACCAGGGGCGGUGCCAGCACCAGGAGGCUGUGCAUUCAAAUGCACUAAUGUUUUUUAAAUGUCUUAUUUUCUUGCAUAAAUACGAAUAAAAUUAAGCUUGCAAUCAAAAAAAUUAUGGGGUCAGCUGACCCCACAUCGUACAUGUAGAAUCGCCCUGGAUCUGCCCUAACCCUCCUAGUCAGUAGUCACUGCCCGAAGAGCUGCUAGGGGAAACUUAUGUUCCCUUCAAACGCAACACCCAUAAUAUCGUAGUGCUAAAACUCUAAUCUUUGCCUAUUUUGCUCUUUAAAUUUUUUUUUUGAACGCCAUCUUCAAAAUGCUGAGCAGACAACUUGACCGAGUCUAAGCCAUCAGCACACACAUGUCACGCCUUCCUCCAAUUCGGCGGACAGCGAGUCGCCGGCUCCAGACUCCCUGACAAGUGGACUGGCGAACAACAAUGACAUGGACGAUGAAUAGUUAUUGUGAGCUAUCGCGUGGGUGUGUCCCACCUGUAAGUAUAGAGUGGUAUAACUAGGAGAUGAGCAGUGGUGCUCGGGGUGUGUUGUAAUUGAAUCCUGUGAACCUUCUCAUCUUUUCAGGGUGCGUUUGGUUUGAGGGCUAUCCCUCGUGUGGCUAGGGAUAGCCACUUUUUAAAUGGCUGCCAGGCGUUUGGUUUGAAGUUUAGCGUGGCUGAGGAUAGCCAGAUUCGCAGAAUAUUCCAUCAAAAUCGGGCUGAGCGGAGCCGCCGAAAAGUGGCGGACAUGGCCAACCACUCUGUGCCUGCGCACUCGCCUCGCCGUUUUCCCCUCGUUCUCGCCUCUUCCACCCGCCCCUUGAUAAGAAAAAAACCCUCUCCGUAUCUCUUGCGAAUUUGCGGCGGCGGCCGCCGCCGCCGAACCCCGCGGGGCGUGGUGCUGCAGCGGAUUUAGGGGCGUGAAGGUGAGGGAAGCAGGCGCGGUAGUUCAUGCCGACAAGGGGAAGCAGGGGAUCUGGAGAGCUGCCGGUCGAGGUGGUCGGCGGCGGAUCUGGAGAGCUGCCGAUCGAGGUUGUCGGCGGCGGAUCUGGAUCGAGAACUGAUGUACAUGUGUGGGUCGUGUGGUUCGCGACUACCCAUGCGUGGCUUGCGGCGAAGCGUCGUGUGCAUGCGGCGGAGUGGUGUACGUGCUGGGCUCCGGCCGGCCGCGCGUGCGUUGAUUGUUGUUGCUCUGGUCGGCUGCGCCAUGUCCUGUUCCUUUCGUUGAUUUUUUCUACUCAAAUCUGAUGUUAUCACAACAGCAUAUAUCCUCUUUCCAUCCCUUCAAGCAAACACAACAAUGGCUAUCUUCAACCACCUGACUUUCUAUCUAACCAAACAAAAAAAGUGGCUAUCCCUAACCAGGUGGAUGAGGAUACCCAUAACCACCUUAGCCCAUCCCCUGAACCAAACGCACCCUCAGCUGAUAAUCUCAUCCCCUUUCGUCUGAUAUCUCAUCCCCUUCUCCAAGCUAUCCUCUGAUCCCUAGAUCUCCAGAUCGGGACACCACAAUUGGUAAUCAGAGCCUGUGAUUGCUCCCCUCGCACUCACAAUCCGAGAUCAAUCCGUAAAAUUCCACUGCGAAAGGUGCCUUGAUUUGCUUCGGCUCAUCGGCUCAAAAUCCUUAGCGGGGUUGGAUUCGAUUCAGGAGAGCCGCGACGGCGCUGUCCAAGAUCACGAAGCCCUCGGCGCAGACGGAAAUUUUGUUGGGCACAAUGGAGAAGAUGCAGGCGACGUUGGAUGAGAUCCUGACCCGCUUCACCGCCACGGAUACCAGCGUCAAGACCGUCUCCGAGGAGGUCAUCAGCCUGCGCAAACAGGUAGAGGAGUUUGGCGACGAGAUGGACCACAUCAAGCGCCGCGUCCACGACACCGGCAAGUCAACCCCAUCGUCCUCGUCCGCGCUGCAUCAGGAGACCGCUCCGCCACCUGCCGACAAGGGCCAUGGAGUGCCGCUGCUCGUCAAUAAUCAUCCGCCGCUGCUUGGAACUCCUCAACAGCAGCCGUCCGGAUUUCACACCGCGCCGUCAUCACCACAUGAGCAGGAUGUGCGGCCCACCCUCCACGCCCAACCAGAUCAGGAGGAGUACCGGCCGCGUCAACCACGCCAUGAUUUUCCACGUUUCCAUGGUGAGAUGCCCCUGCUUUGGAUAGACCAGUGCUUGACUUAUUUCGAGAUGUACCGAGUGCCUGUUCAUCACUAGGUCAGUACUGCUACUCUGUACUUGGAUGGAUUGGCUGCGAUGUGGUUUCAGGCAUAUAAGCGUUUGCAUAGACGUCUCACUUGGGAUGAAUUCACGGGUGCUGUGGUGACUGAAUUUGGGCAUGACGAGUAUGAUGUUCACAUGACUAAGUUGCAGCAGUUACGGCAAACCACUUCUGUGAAUGAAUAUAAGGCCCAAUUUGAAGAGUGUAUGUAUCAUUUCUUUCUCUGGAUCCAACCAUGAGCACUCGCUGGUUUGUCUCUCAGUUUGUCUUUGGAUUACGAGAUGAGCUUUGUGGACCUGUGAGAUUGCAGGCUCCUACUAGUGUUACUUGCGCUGCAGCUUUGGCAAAAAUUCAGGAAGAAGAAGUGGAACACAUACGACCCAGAAAUCGUCCCGCAGCUCCAACAAAACAUCCACCACAACCUGUAGCAGGUGUGGUGCAUACACCAGCUCUGGGACGAACAGAAUUGCCUCCCCGUCAGGGCAAUGAUGACUUUAACAGGGAACGGCAGAUCCGUGAUUUUCGGCGCGCCAAUGGUCUUUGUUUUAAAUGUGGGGAUAAGUAUUCCAAAGAGCAUCAGUGUAAAAGAUCAGGUCAGCUACUCACUAUUGAAGUUGGAGAAUUUGGUGAAGUAUUAUCAGAUGAUGCAGUGGUUGCCCUGGAUCUCUUGGAAGAAACAAAAAUACCCGCUACUUGCUAUCAUCUUUCUAUGCAUGCUCUCGCGGGAACAGAAGCUUUGGAAACUGUUCGCAUUCGUGCUUUGGUGGGAAAUCAGGUGAUGCUCUUGCUUAUUGACUCUGGCAGCACACACACGUUUGUAAAUAAGAGCUUUGCAGAGCGUGCUGGUUGCACUAUUCAGUUAGUCCCAAUAGUUUCAGUUAAGGUAGAAAAUGGACAAAUUUUGUCGUCUGAUGCUCAAGUACAAGGGUUACAGUGGUGGACACAAGGAUCUACAUUUGUAACUGAUAUGAGGGUCCUGGAGCUUGGGGCCUAUGAUGCCAUAUUAGGCAUGGACUGGCUAGAGCAGUUCAGUCCUAUGAUCUGCCAUUGGCGUCAGAAAACAUUAACAUUCGAUUAUUUGGGAAAAUCCAUUACACUGCAGGGUGUCCUUUCUAAACCACAAGAGUCACUCCGGGAAAUGUCUCUGGAACAGUUAAAUAAGUGGAUUUCGGGGAAUGAGGUCUGGGCCAUGGCUAUGAUUGAUCCUAUACAGCAAACAACAGAAUCUGUACCCAACAUAGUGCAAUCAGAUAUGCAGUCUUUACUCGAGGAAUACCAUGAUGUUUUUGAUCAGCCCACUACUUUGCCACCGCAUCGUGCCUUGGAUCAUUCGAUCUCGUUAGAACCAGGAGCUCAUCCAACAAACAGUCGCCCCUACCGGUACUCUCCAUUGCAAAAGGACGAGAUCGAACGUCAGGUCUCGGAAAUGCUUGACAGAGGGGUGAUUCAGACAAGCAUGAGUCCGUUCGCGUCUCCGGUGCUGUUAGUUAAAAAGAAGGACGACACAUGGCGAUUUUGUGUUGAUUAUCGUCGCUUGAAUUCCAUAACUUUGAAGAACAAGUUUCCCCUACCGGUCGUUGAUGAGUUGCUGGACGAAUUGGCUGGCACUAAAUUUUUCUCCAAGUUAGAUUUACGCGCAGGAUACCAUCAAAUUCGCAUGAGGCCAGAGGAUGAAGAAAAGACAGCCUUUAAAACACAUCACGGCCACUUUCAAUUCCGAGUGAUGCCAUUUGGAUUAACGAAUGCACCAGCCACAUUUUAGUGCAUUAUGAAUCUCAUUUUUGCUAAAUACCUCCGCAAGUUUGUGAUAGUCUUCCUGGACGAUAUCUUGGUCUACAGUUCAUCUUGGGCAGAGCAUUUAGAGCAUCUGCGUCUGGUGUUCGAAACACUUCGUCAGGCUCAAUUCUUUGCUAAGUUAUCCAAGUGUUCUUUUGGGCAGAACAGUAUUCAGUAUCUUGGCCAUAUUAUCUCUGAUUCCGGUGUUGCAACCGAUCCCGAGAAAACAGUGGUGAUGGAACAGUGGCCAAUUCCUAAGACAGCAACUGAACUACGAGGAUUCCUUGACCUAACAGGUUAUUACCGUAAAUUUGUUAAACAUUAUAGUCUGAUUGCUAAACCACUGUCUCAACUUCUGACCAAAAAGGGUUUCUACUGGAAUGAACAAGCAACACAAGCAUUUCUUGCUCUGAAACAAGCUAUGGCACAGGCACCUGUCCUGGCAUUGCCCAACUUUUCCGAGCCCUUCACCGUGGAAACUGACGCUUGUGGCACUGGAGUGGGGGCAGUGUUAAUGCAGAAAGGGCAUCCAAUUGCAUACAUGAGCAAGCCUCUUGGGAUACUUAACUGUAAAAUGUCCAUCUAUGAAAAAGAAUUCCUUGCUGUGAUUAUGGCUGUGGAUAAGUGGCGUCCUUAUUUACAGUGCGGCCCAUUUCAGAUAGUCACCGAUCAUAAGAGCCUCUGCAACCUAGAGGAUCAAAUUUUGACUACUGAUUUGCAACGCAAGGCAAUGGCCAAGCUCGUGGGUUUACAGUUUCAGAUUAAGUACAGAAAGGGAAGUUAUAACGGUGCUGCCGAUUCCUUGUCUCGAGUGGGCCAUUUAUUGGAAACACAUGCCAUUUCCACCUUGCAACCUGAUUGGGUCCAGGAGGUUUCCAAUUCCUAUGUCACUGACACAGUGGCCACUCAGUUAUUACAAGAAUUGGCAAUUCAAUCUCCUAAUGCAAAAGGUUAUGCAUUGAAGAAAGGCCUAAUUACUUACAAAGGCAGAAUGUAUAUUGGUGCAAAUCUUGCCCUACAAACUAAGCUGAUAGCAGCUCACCAUGAUACUGCAGUGGGAGGCCAUUCAGGUAUUCAAGCCACAUACCACAGAUUGAAGCAGCUGUAUUAUUGGCCAGGUCUUAAGGUUGCCGUGGAAAAUUAUAUCCAUCAAUGUAUAGUGUGUCAACAAGCAAAACACACUAAUACAAAACCAGCUGGCCUUCUGCAACCCUUGCCACCCCCGACAGUCCUUGGACUGAAUUGACAAUGGAUUUCAUCGAGGGUCUUCCUAAUUCAGAGGGUGCAAAUUCAAUAUUGGUGGUCGUUGACCGCUUAACAAAGUAUGCUCACUUUCUGCCCUUGCAUCAUCCUUUCACAGCAACUUCAGUGGCCAAAGUUUUCCUGGAUAAUGUGGUGAAACUACAUGGUAUUCCCAAAACCAUUAUCUCUGAUCGUGAUAAGAUCUUCACUAGUAAGUUUUGGAGAAACCUGCUGCAAUCCAUGGGUAUUGAGCUCCACUACAGCACCGCUUACCAUCCGCAAACCGAUGGUCAGAGCGAACGAGUAAAUCAAUGUUUGGAGCAGUAUCUUCGUUGUGCUGUACAAGACAAUCCUCGUCAUUGGCGUCGUUGGCUAUCCAUGGCAGAGUUCUGGUACAAUUCCAGUUUUCAUACUGCUCUUCAAUGCUCACCAUUCCAAGCUUUGUAUCACAUUGCCCCAAAUUUUGGAGGAAUGCCUAACCUUACCGUGUCCAAUGACUCGCCAGCUGCUAGUGUUGUUAUCGACUAUAAGGCACCGACUGAACUUUUGCGUGCUCAGCUGAUACGAGCCCAACAACGCAUGAAGAGCUAUGCUGACAAGAACAGGACUGAACGUCAGUUUCAACCGGGUGAUCAAGUUUUGCUGAAACUCCAACCUUAUGCCCAACAAACAGUGGUCAAUCGUCCAUAUCCCAAAUUAUCCUACAAGUAUUUCGGUCCAUAUACUGUUCUGGAGCGCAUUGGUGCUGUCGCAUACAGACUACAAUUACCAGUUUCAGCUCAGGUACACCCAGUCUUUCAUGUGUCCCAAUUGAAGCCAUUUACUCCAAACUACACUCCUGUGUAUACGGAUAUUCCUGCCGUGCCGGAUUUGACAACAGUAGCACCGGUACCUGUUGCAAUCCUUGAUCGUCGGAUGGUACGCAAGGGCAAUGCAGCAGCACCUCAAGUUCUCAUUCAAUGGGCACAUGUUCCUCCAGAGCGUGCUACCUGGGAGGAUUACUAUGUCGUCAAAAGCAGAUUUCCUGAAGCUCUUCUGUGGGACGAUGAGCAAGCUCAAGCGGGGGGCAAUGUCACGCCUUCCUCCAAUUCGGCGGACAGCGAGUCACCGGCUCCAAACUCCCUGACAAGUGGACCGGCGAACGACGAUGACGUGGACGAUGAAUAGUUACUGUGAGCUGUCGCGUGGGUGUGUCCCACCUGUAAAUGUAGAGUGGUAUAACUAGGAGAUGAGCAGUGGUGCUCGGGGUGUGUUGUAAUUGAAUCCUGUGAACCUUCUCAUCUUUUCAGCUGAUAAUCUCAUCCCCUUUUGUCUGAUAUCUUAUCCCCUUCUCCAAGCUAUCCUCUGAUCCCUAGAUCUCCAGAUCGGGACACCACAACACACUGUACGCUCGAUCCAGUUUAGUAUCCCAAACAUUAAAUGGUAGUGAUAUAUGGCCCUGGAAACUGAUCGAACUUACUAAUUCCUAUAGUAGUAUAUGUGGACCCAAAAUCAAUCUCCAGCGUGUAGAUAUCUCCAUCAAAAACACACUCGUCUCCUCGACCCCAAAGUUAAUGCCCAAUACUUAUCAUUACACAAAGAAAGGAAGUAAUUAAUGCAUCAAUUAAUGAGAAGCGAGUAUAGGACUCGAGAGCAUAUCCAUCCAAGAGCGUUCACCUAUAAAAACACCCCUGCUCGAUGAAUCCAUCCUGUGCCUUCCGAGACUGUAUUCUAUUGCCUUUUGAGCAAGCACUCUUGCUCGAUCGAUCGAUCGACCGAUCCCGUGCCUGGCCACUGGUUGGCGAGCAUCUUACGCAAUGGCAGGUCGCCCGUUGCUGGUCCCGGCUGUCAUGCUGCGUCCUCCUGGACCGGCGUUGGGCUCGAGGGCCUCACUAUACGUCGGCGACCUAGAUGAUGGCGGGGCAUAUCUACGCCCUGUUCUGCCAGGUGGCGCCCGUGGCGUCCCUCCGUGUCUGCCGGGACGUCACUGGCAGGUCACUUGGUUAUGCCUACGUGAAUUUCUACAGUCGGGAGGACGGUGAGUUUGGCUUCAUCUCUUUUUUUUUUCUUUUUUUUGGGGUUGUCUUUGUCUCUUUGCAUGUUCAUCUACUCAGGCUUGGAUUGGGGAUACAAAGAACUUACGAGGCUGCGUGGUUUUAGAUCUUGGUUGUGUAGUCUGUGAUUUACUAGAUUUCCCAUACAAGAUGUGGCACACCAUCGGUUGAAGUUCUAUUUUGGCAUUUUCUUGUUCUGGUCAACAGAGGCGAGGGUCUUUUGAUGGAACGCGUGUAGAUAGUGUGUUGACCUGCAGUUUGUAGAACAACAUGUCACUAACAUGAGUAGUGUUGGAAUCCGUAACCGUUUCGGGUUUGCGGAAUCUGAUGCUCUCGGAAUCGGGCUCGGAAUAGGAUAAAUGAUUGGCAAAAGCCAAUGGACACACACAGUGGUUGCAAUUAAACGUGUGUUUACCUACAUACCAUAUAUUUCUGUCGUAAAAGAAAUUGACAUGUUCCUAUUAUUGGUGAUGUCUUUCUUAUUCAGGUCGUAACACUUGAGAAUUGAAUCGCAAGUUGAAUUGUAGUUUGUUGUUAAGUUAGGUUGGUUGUUUUCAAAUUAGCCAACAUUAAUUGCUGUUUGUGUCUGAGUGAAAGGCUUCAUACACUGCUUUUGUUUAUUAUGAACAGACGAGAAUAGGAAUUUGGGCUAAAAUCCUGCUAAGAGUUCUCUAUAGAUUGUGCACCAUGGGGUAGAAAAUCGCUGUAGAUAAUAUAGUGUUGUCGGAAUCUGACUCAGAACCGGAUGUAUGAUUUGGGAAAAAUAAGUAGACACACACAAUUGUUCCAAUUAAUAUGUGUUUAUCUGUUCGCUGAGUUAUGCCGUAAACGAAAUGACAUGUUCAUAUUACUGGUGGUUGUCUAUCGUAUUUAUGGUGUAACAUUUGGGAGUUGAAUCGUUAGCGAGAGGAAUUGUAGUUUUUAUUAAACUAGGUCACAUGAUUUGUUUUCAAGUCAGACAAGAUUGAUCAUUGUUACCAAUGAGGGAAUGACUUCAUAGAUUGCAUUUGGCGAUUAGGAAGAGAAUGGAAUUUUGACUAAAUCUCGGUAAGACUUCUUUAUAGAUUGGGUUUAUGCACAUUCCAUAAAAAAACCAAGACCCUCGCUUCGAUAGAUCACAACAAGAAAUAUAACUUCAAGGCACUGUAGAUUAGGAAGAGAAUGGAAUCGGCAGUUUGUAGAUUGGGAAGAUAAUGGAAUCAGCAGUUUGUAGAACAUGGUGCCGAACACUGACAUCAGGGUUAGAAUCCGUAACCGAUUCGGGUUUCCGAUAUGGCAAAAAAUCUUUGUGGAAACAAAUGCUGUCGGAAUACGACUCAGAGUCGGAUGUAUGAUUCGGAAAAGUCAAGUAGGCACACACACCGGUUGUAAUUAAUGUGUUUUUAUAUACCUAUAUAUUUUUGUGACAAACUAAAUGUUCCCAUUAUUGUUGAUGUCUAUCUUACUUACGCCGUAAUACUUGGAUUGAAUCGUCAGCGAGAGGAAUUGUAGUUUUUUGUGAACUUUGGGUUGGUUUGUUUCAAAUUAGCUAACAUUAGUUGUUGAUUCCAUCUGAGUUUAUGGCUUCAUAGAUUUCUUCUGGUCAUUACGAAUAGAAAAGAAUAGAAUUUGGGUUAAGAUCCUAUUAAGAUUUCUGCGUAGAUUUGCACCAUGGUGUAAAAUUCGACGCGGAAAAUAACGUUGCCGAGUAUGUCGGAAUCCGACUCAAAAUCGGAUAUAUUAUUUUGAAAAAGCAAGUAGGCACACACAAUUAUUAUUUUAGUUAAUGCAUUUUUUGUACUUGCAGGAUUCUCUCAUAAACAAAAUGUUAUGUUCAUAUUAUCGGCGUCGUCUAUCUUACUUACGGUCUAACUUUUGGGAGUUGAAUUGGUUAGCGAGAGAAAAUUUAGCUCUUUGUUAAAUUGGGCCACACGGUUUAUUUAUAAGAUAGCCAAGAUUUGUAGAUUGCACACGGGAAUUAAGAACACAAGAGAAUGGAAAUAGAGCUUAAAUUUCCUUACGAUUUCGUUGUAGAUUGUGCAUCAUGCAUGGUGUAGAACGUCAUCCUGGAAGUUAACAUUGUCACAAUCCGACUUGGACUCGGAUGUGCAUAUGAUUAGGAAAAAACAAAUAGCUAGAAUUUGGUUACAAUUAAUGUGUGUCUAUGUUCUUAUUUCUUUCUAUCUAAACAAAAGGACAUGUUUCUGUUAUUGGUGUUGUCUAUCUUUUUUAUGAAGUAACAUUUGGGAGUUUACUUGGUUAGUGAGCGACUUUUUUAAAGUUUAGUCCAUGCAGUUUGUUUUCUAGUUUAACCAAUAUUCAUUCUUGUUUCCAUUGAUGCCUCCAUAAGUUGGUGUGGCAAUUUGGAAAAUAUAAACAGGAGGGAACUGAAUGUGGGUUAAAAGGUCGUUAAGAAUUUUUCUAGUUUGUGCACCAUGGUGUUGAAAUGUGCUACAUUACACUAGGUAGAUUGUAUGAUCACGAUGGCCCCAUGGAUUUCAUAGUUAACCUAGUCAAAUUUUCAUCAGUUUAUUCAUGCUCCACGCUGCCAAAUUAGUUACGAGCGAAAUUGUACAUAGUUCAAAUUGGAUAUUAGCUUUGCAUAUCGGACAUCCGAUAAUUAUCUGCUCGAUGAACAUCCUGUCAUAUAUAAUACACCAUGUUGUAUCGUGGUCAAUUAUACAUAUACAUACCAUACCUACACUAUUGUUUUCACCUUAACCUGAUUUCUUUUUCUUUGUAUUUGUAUGUUUGCUUGCCCUACUAGAGGAUUUGAGUUUAAUACUACAAUUACCUCUAAUAAUUUUGUAUGUGAUUGUUUUGCAGCCAAACGUUCAUUAGACUCUUUAAAUUUUACACCUCUCAACGGGAAGCAUAUCCGAGUUAUGUUCUCGAAUAGGGACCCAAAGCUGCGAUUGAGUGGAAAGGCCAAUAUAUUCAUAAAAAAUCUUGUGCCAAAUAUUGAUGGCAAGAGCUUGAGUGAUAUGUUUGGUCGCUAUGGCACUAUACUAUCAUGCAAAGUGGCCACUCACUUUGACGGUCAAUCAAAAGGGUACGGAUUUGUUCAGUUUGCAGAGGAGACAUCUGCCAAUGAUGCCAUCGACAGCUUGAAUGGCAAGUUGGGUUGAAUGGCAAACAAAUUUUUGUAGGUCUCUUCAUUCGUCGUCAGGAGAGGCAGCCAAAUAUCAGCGCGAGUAAUUAUACAAAUGUAUAUGUGAAGAACUUGCCAAAGGAAUUCACUCACAAUGACCUUCUGCAAGAGUUUGGUCCUUUCAGUACAAUUACUAGCGCUGUAAUCAUGAGAGAUAAUGAUGGAAUAUCCAAAUGCUUCGGAUUCGUUAACUAUGGGGAAUCAGAAUGUGCUGCAGAAGCUGUGAAAAGUCUUAAUGGUAAGAUGAUUAAGGAUACAAUUUUGUAUGUUGGAAGAGCUCAGAAAAAGUCAGAAAGAGAAGCAGAACUGAAAGAAAACUUUGAGCGUGCGAGAAAUGAGAAAUUCAAAAAGUUUGAAGGGCUCAAUCUAUACGUGAAGAACCUAGAUGAUAGUAUUAAUGAUCGAAAUCUUAGAGGGUUAUUUGAAUUUUUUGGUGAGAUAGGAUCAUGCAAGGUAGUUCUCUCUUUAUUUGCUAGCUAAUUUUGUUUCUUAGUAUCAUGGCUCACCUUCUUAACAUUUUUUUUGGUUAUGGUUGAUUCACAAUGAAGGAGCAAGGGUUAUGGCUUUGUGUCAUUUACAACUAUUGAAGUUGUCCACAAGGCUGUAAGUAACAUGGUUUAGUUGUAUGCAAACGUACCCAAUGCAUCCAGUUGACUAGUUUAGAUUAUUAAAUCAUCUUUGAUCAAUGUGGUAGAUUGACGGGAUGAACAGGAAGAUAGUCGGCAAAAAGCCAUUGUAUGUUGGUGUAGCUCAACGCAAAGAGGAAAGACGAGCGAUGCUAGUGGUAAAUCUUUCCCAAGUGAUCAUUUUGUACAUUAGGUGCCUUCUGCUGAUAAGUGAUAAGUAGUGACUUCUUUUAAUUAAUCUUAUAUGCUGAUAAGUGCUGUUUGAGUUCUAAUAUUGCUAUGUGACAUGUCUACUACAUGUCCAAUUAUUUACGUAUUAUUUGUUUCAUUUUUACACAUAGCUGAUGAACUAAAAGAAAAUCAGUUCAGUUAUAAAUAAGUUGUAUAUUGUCCCAUCCUAAGAAUAACAUAGACUGAGAAUCAAUGUGGAUGAGUGUUAACAAAAUGGUUAUUUUUUUACCGUCCAAAUAAACUUAAGUAAAACAGGUUCUCUCUUGUCACCUGUGUGUCACUGAAUAUUUGAACAUUAGAUCUGCAACUGUUUCAAGAAUAUAAACAAGGGACACAGCACAAGCUUAAUGCUACUGACAUUGUUUCUAGG
rnacentral:lncRNA from 1 species